UACGCAGGGGGCUAGCGUUGUUCGGAAUUACUGGGCGUAAAGGGCGCGUAGGCGGCGUGUCAAGUCAGGCGUGAAAGCCCCGGGCUCAACCUGGGAACCGCGCUUGAGACUGGCAUGCUCGAGUUCGGGAGAGGAUGGUGGAAUUCCCAGUGUAGAGGUGAAAUUCGUAGAUAUUCGGAAGAACACCAGUGGCGAAGGCGGCCAACUGGUCCGGCACUGACGCUGAGGUGCGAAAGCGUGUGGAGCAAACAGG
rnacentral:rRNA from 1 species